rnacentral:rRNA from 1 species
AACGCUAGCUACAGGCUUAACACAUGCAAGUCGAGGGGAAACGAUAUUGGAAGCUUGCUUCCGAUAGGCGUCGACCGGCGCACGGGUGAGUAACGCGUAUCCAACCUGCCCACCACUUGGGGAUAACCUUGCAAAAGUAAGACUAAUACCCAAUGACGUCUCUAGAAGACAUCUGAAAGGGAUUAAAGAUUUAUCGGUGAUGGAUGGGGAUGCGUCUGAUUAGCUUGUUGGCGGGGUAACGGCCCACCAAGGCGACGAUCAGUAGGGGUUCUGAGAGGAAGGUCCCCCACAUUGGAACUGAGACACGGUCCAAACUCCUACGGGAGGCAGCAGUGAGGAAUAUUGGUCAAUGGGCGAGAGCCUGAACCAGCCAAGUAGCGUGCAGGAAGACGGCCCUAUGGGUUGUAAACUGCUUUUAUAAGGGAAUAAAGUUAGUCUCGUGAGACUUUUUGCAUGUACCUUAUGAAUAAGGACCGGCUAAUUCCGUGCCAGCAGCCGCGGUAAUACGGAAGGUCCGGGCGUUAUCCGGAUUUAUUGGGUUUAAAGGGAGCGUAGGCCGGAGAUUAAGCGUGUUGUGAAAUGUAGACGCUCAACGUCUGCACUGCAGCGCGAACUGGUUUCCUUGAGUACGCACAAAGUGGGCGGAAUUCGUGGUGUAGCGGUGAAAUGCUUAGAUAUCACGAAGAACUCCGAUUG